ensembl:lncRNA
CUGCCUCUUUGUUCUGAGUGCUGUAUUUAGUUCAACAGGGUGUGUGUGUGUGUGUGUGUGCGUGUGUGUGUACUCACUGUCGACAAACAGUGUUGGGUUACUGAUGGUUCUUGUUUGCUUUGCAUGGUACAAAUUGGUCUCAAAUUGAGUCAGCCCACUAUGGGUUGACCCUGAGUUUGGGUCACGGCCACUCCCACUCCUGUGGCUUCCUGUAGCCGUCUCAGUUUGAUGAUGUCAGCUGAAGCAGCUGUGUAGCUAUGCUUCCUGUAGCCAUCUCAGUUUGAUGAUGUCAGCUGAAGCAGCUGUAUAGCUAUGCUUCCUGUAGCCGUCUCAGUUUGAUGAUGUCAGCUGAAGCAGCUGUAUAGCUAUGCUUCCUGCAGAAAGCUGCAUUGUUGUUGCUGCUGCUGCUGCUGCCUGUUCUGUGGUUUAUUCCUUUUCUGUGUAGCUGCUAAUCCACAUCUCUGUGUGUUUGUUUGUGUGUGAGUGUGUGUGUGUGUGUGUGUUGGGGUGAGGGGGGUUUAAGGGGGUGGUGAUGGUCUCCAUUAAAUCAGUAAACGUUGCACGGUUUCACCUAUUUUACUCACGGAGAGGAAAAAGAGAUUGUCAGUUGGCACACAGCGAUGAUGUCAUCAUCUCACGUGUCAACACUAUUGUUUACUGUUGGCUCCAUAGAUGGUACAUUCCUAACAGACUUUCAGUGAUUAAUGCUAGUUAAAAACUAGCUAAUUUCCACUUUGUAUGGCAAUGUCAUUGCGCACAUUGUUACAUUUAGUAUCAAUAUCAGGAUUUUUCUAAUCCCGAUGUUCAAUUGGUAUGACUUUACCAAUCCAGAACGUUUCAGUUAUGAAGCAGUCAAAUGGGGGUCAGAGGAGCCUUUCCUUGUCGUUUGAUGACUUCUUCUGAAGCCGCUAGAGUGUGGAGGGUUAAAGGUCGAGGCUUCAGAUGGUCUCACUCUUAAGGGUGUCGGAUCACUAGGGCUGUGCUAGAGCAGGAGUGUGCUCACUGGGAUUCAUUCUGCUGAAGUACAAAUUAAUUUAAGAUGUGAAGAUCAUUUAUUUAAUCUGUUGACGAUCUGUGAAAAAAACACAGUUGCAAGCACAUUGUACACACUUUCUCACACACGCACACACUCACAAACAUUUACAUGCUCUCUCUCAUCCGCUCUUUCUCUCUCUCUCUCUCUCUCACACACACAGGCCCGCACACACACACACACACACACACACACACUGCAGAUUGCAAACCUUCACACAGAUACACAUAAAACACUACUUAAGUACAGUUACUUUUGGUCACCCCAUGGCUAUACUAUUUAUUUAUAUUUAUUUACUGUAAAUACAUUUGUUAUUUAUUGGCAUAGUUUUUUUUCAUACAAAGGAAUCCCUAGCUUUAUAUUUUGACAGAUAUAAAGCCUUACACAAAUCGCCCACGCACACACACACACACACACACUCAUCAUAUGACCUGGAGUCCUUGACUGCUCCACUUCUUUCAAGUUUCCUUGGAGUGCUGUUCGUUCCCACAGACAGAUUAAAACACGCUCACAGUCACACACACACACACACACACACGUUCAGAAAUUGUAGUUUCUCUUAGGGUUAUUCUCAUCAUCUUCUCGUUCUUCCUCAUCUCUUCACACAUCAUACAGACACACACUUCUGCACCUGCCAAACACACUUGCAUAAGCACAAAUGCACUUCGCCCACACUCACAAACACACAGACAUGGAUACAUAUAGAAAGUGAUAUGUCAAUAGACCCACAUUAGGCCAUGUGGCACUAACAACAAGGGACGCUGGCGGCGUAGUUAUAUACAGCAGUUGCCAUUCCUUUAUCGAGGUGUUUGUGAAUUGGGCAUCACUGUCAGACCCAGAGAGAUCACAUAGAGCCACGAACUCCAUGACCUCUGGUUCCUGUCUCAUUCUGAUAGGAUCAGACUGAUGCCGGUGACUGUUGCCAUGGACACAGCUCAGGAGAGACGAGGUGUCCAGCUAGACCAUGGCCAUCCAUGUGCAGCAGUGUCCAUGCCCCCCCCCCCACACACACACACACACACACCCACACACCAUCCUGACACAGCCUCUGGUAAUCCCUUGAGAAUUACUGAGCUUGCGCCGAAAGAAGCACAGAUUGACCUAGAUUAUGCUUUCACACACACAGACACUUGCCAGCUCACAUCCGCAUAGCAGCAAAGUCUGUAAGCUUACACUCUGAAAACAAAGAUCAGUCAGUGUUCUCCUUCUGUCUGUUUUAAGUGUUCUCACAUUCACACACCUUUCCAAAAGCACAUUAACACACACACACACAUAGAGUACAGGAUAUGUGAUGAUUGUGUCUUUCACAUGAGUAAGCUAACCUGCCUUAUCCAUUUCAAUACUCUUCUAACACAUCCGUUUGGAUAUUUGUUGUUGUUGAUGUUAUCUGGUCCGCACAUGCAAACCUUCAGUAAGGCGAAGCGUAAGAGAACUGCUGCAGGAGUCCUUGCCACGAACGGGCCUGAGCCCCCACAAGAACCCAAGUUCUAGUCCGGUCUGAGGGCCUUUCUUGGUUCCACUUGGUCCAGCACAUUUCCUGUCAUAAUCUCUACUGUCCUAUCAGUACAGACUAAAGAAAGCCCAAAACAAGAGGCCUGCUUGCUAGAGGUGUCACUACAGUGGCUAUAUGAUGACUAUAUAUGUUAACUAGUUUAAUUUUAAAAAGUCUAUAAAAUAAAUGCAUGUGGAAAUUAUAUCCGCAAAUUGACCUAACGCAAGUAUAAUGGAUGACGGACUGCACGGUGUUCAGCUAGAAAACGCACUUUAUGGUGUAACGGCAUUA